GGUGACGAGUGGCGGACGGGUGAGUAAUGUCUGGGAAACUGCCCGAUGGAGGGGGAUAACUACUGGAAACGGUAGCUAAUACCGCAUAAUGUCGCAAGACCAAAGAGGGGGACCUUCGGGCCUCUUGCCAUCGGAUGUGCCCAGAUGGGAUUAGCUUGUAGGUGGGGUAACGGCUCACCUAGGCGACGAUCCCUAGCUGGUCUGAGAGGAUGACCAGCCACACUGGAACUGAGACACGGUCCAGACUCCUACGGGAGGCAGCAGUGGGGAAUAUUGCACAAUGGGCGCAAGCCUGAUGCAGCCAUGCCGCGUGUAUGAAGAAGGCCUUCGGGUUGUAAAGUACUUUCAGCGAGGAGGAAGGCGUUGUGGUUAAUAACCACAGCGAUUGACGUUACUCGCAGAAGAAGCACCGGCUAACUCCGUGCCAGCAGCCGCGGUAAUACGGAGGGUGCAAGCGUUAAUCGGAAUUACUGGGCGUAAAGCGCACGCAGGCGGUCUGUCAAGUCGGAUGUGAAAUCCCCGGGCUCAACCUGGGAACUGCAUCCGAAACUGGCAGGCUAGAGUCUUGUAGAGGGGGGUAGAAUUCCAGGUGUAGCGGUGAAAUGCGUAGAGAUCUGGAGGAAUACCGGUGGCGAAGGCGGCCCCCCUGGACAAAGACUGACGCUCAGGUGCGAAAGCGUGGGGGAGCAAACAGGA
rnacentral:rRNA from 1 species